rnacentral:rRNA from 1 species
AACGAACGCUGGCGGCAUGCCUAACACAUGCAAGUCGAACGAGACCUUCGGGUCUAGUGGCGCACGGGUGCGUAACGCGUGGGAACCUGCCCUUAGGUUCGGAAUAACUCCCCGAAAGGGGUGCUAAUACCGGAUAAUGUCUUCGGACCAAAGAUUUAUCGCCUUUGGAUGGGCCCGCGUUGGAUUAGCUAGUUGGUAGGGUAAAAGCCUACCAAGGCGACGAUCCAUAGCUGGUCUGAGAGGAUGAUCAGCCACACUGGGACUGAGACACGGCCCAGACUCCUACGGGAGGCAGCAGUAGGGAAUAUUGGACGAUGGGCGAAAGCCUGAUCCAGCAAUGCCGCGUGAGUGAUGAAGGCCUUAGGGUUGUAAAGCUCUUUUACCCGGGAUGAUAAUGACAGUACCGGGAGAAUAAGCACCGGCUAACUCCGUG